rnacentral:rRNA from 1 species
UGCCGAGAAAAGCUUCUAGCCAGAGACGGUGCACCCGUACCGCAAACCGACACAGGUAGUCGAGGAGAGUAUCCUCAGGUGAGCGAGAGAACUCUCGUUAAGGAACUCGGCAAAAUGGCCCCGUAACUUCGGGAGAAGGGGCGCUGGUCGCAAGAUCAGCCGCAGUGAAAAGGCCCAAGCAACUGUUUAUCAAAAACACAGGCAUCUGCAAAAUCGUAAGAUGAAGUAUAGGUGCUGACACCUGCCCGGUGCUGGAAGGUUAAGAGGAGAGCUUAGCGCAAGCGAAGGUUUGAAUUGAAGCCCCAGUAAACGGCGGCCGUAACUAUAACGGUCCUAAGGUAGCGAAAUUCCUUGUCGGGUAAGUUCCGACCUGCACGAAAGGUGUAAUGAUUUGGGCACUGUCUCAACGAGAGACUCGGUGAAAUUAUAAUACCCGUGAAGAUGCGGGUUACCCGCGACAGGACGGAAAGACCCCAUGGAGCUUUACUGCAGUUUAAUAUUGGGUAUCUGUCAAGCAUGUACAGGAUAGGUAGGAGCCGGAGAAGAUAGGACGCCAGUCUUAUCUGAGGCGCUGUUGGGAUACUACCCUUGCUUGACGGAUGCUCUAACUCAGG